rnacentral:rRNA from 1 species
UGAGUAACACGCAUCCAACCUGCCGUCUACUCUUGGCCAGCCUUCUGAAAGGAAGAUUAAUCCAGGAUGGCAUCAUGAGUUCACAUGUCCGCAUGAUUAAAGGUAUUUUCCGGUAGACGAUGGGGAUGCGUUCCAUUAGAUAGUAGGCGGGGUAACGGCCCACCUAGUCAACGAUGGAUAGGGGUUCUGAGAGGAGGGUCCCCCACAUUGGAACUGAGACACGGUCCAA